rnacentral:rRNA from 1 species
GUGUCAGCAGCCGCGGUAAUACGUAGGUGGCAAGCGUUGUCCGGAUUUACUGGGCGUAAAGGAUGUGUAGGCGGAUACUUAAGUCAGAUGUGAAAUCCCCCGGCUUAACUGUGGAGCUUCAUUGCAAACUGGGUGUCUUGAGUGCAGAAGAGGAAAGUGGAAUUCCUAGUGUAGCGGUGAAAUGCGUAGAGAUUAGGAAGAAUACCAGUGGCGAAGGCGGCUUUCUGGUCUGUAACUGACGCUGAGGCGUGAAAGCAUGGGGAGCAAACAGGAUUAGAUACCCUGGUAGUCCAUGCCGUAAACGAUGAGUGCUAGGUGUAAGAGGUAU